rnacentral:rRNA from 1 species
AUGGGCUCGGCAACAGUCCUGGAGGUGAUCCUCGCCAUCAUCCUGCCUCCCGUCGGCGUCUUCCUGCGCUACAAACUCGGCGUGGAGUUCUGGAUCUGUCUCUUGCUGACCAUACUGGGGUACAUACCGGGGAUCAUCUACGCGGUGUAUGUGCUGGUAGUUUAA